AUGAGCAGAAUCGGGUUUAUUGCGGGAUUUUGGCGGUGCAAAGGGGGUCGGGACACAGAGGGGGGGGCGCAGGAAGGGCUCAAGGCGGAGCCGCUCGCGGUGCUGCUGCCCAGCGAGGGGAAAAGGGCUGCUGGGAGCGGGGACAAGGGGUCAGCAGGGAGGGAGGACACCCGAGUGGCCGUGAUCCCCUGGCCUGUGGCCCGAGCCGGCCGGGAAUGCACGGCCGGAGCCGGGGGGACAGCAGGGACGGAGCUGGGGGGAUGCAGGAGCUGCCCCCCGGGAUGGGCAGGGGUCAGUGCUGGGGGGCUGGGGAUGUUCCAUCCCAUCCAAUUCUCUUCCAGCUGCUGUGGCCCGCUCACCCUGUCCCCACGGCGUCCCCACGGUGUCCCCACGGUGUCCCCGGUGCCACCACCCCCGCCUGGGACACCACAAGCUGCGUGGGGCGGGGUCCCGGGUCCCCAAAACCUCCCGGGACAGGAGCCCCAGGGAGGGAAUUCCCAUCCCCAGAGCUUCCGUGGCUCUGCCACGCUCCAAGGAGAUGUCACUGUCCCCAGGGGCGAGGGGACAACGCCACCGCGGCAGCGUGACACCCAGCGCUGGGGGACAACCGGCUGCGGCUACAGCCAGGACAGUCACAGUCACAGGGUUUGUGUCUCUCAGCACGAAGUCGUGUCGCUGUCCCCUGUCCCCACGGGCUGUGACAAGAGCCCCUCGUGCGCCUCAACAGCCGCCUCCCUUUGUCCCCAACCCCGCCGGGCUCAGCCGAAGCCGAGAAGGCACCAAGAAAGAGAGAACCCAGCCCCAAAAAUCAUCACGCUGGGGGCGUCCCCGGCUCAGGCCGUGCCCGAGGGCGCUGCCGGGGCCGCGGGCAGCCCCGGGACGGCUCUAGGGGUGGAGUACCUGCUGCUGGCCCUGGAUCCGCAUGUACUCCAUGCGCUGCUUGAUGUGCUUGCCCUUGUCGGGGCUGCCCUGCUGGCCCUGCUUCAGCCGCGACGCCGGGUUCACCACCUUCAUGGCCGGGAUGGAGACGCCACCGCUCUGCCGGGACACAAAAUCCAGGGGAAAAGGGUUAAAAUCCUUGAAUCCUUGAAUCCUGGUGGAGCCGGCAGCGCUGGGUGCCUGGGGCUGAGCCACCCCUGCCGGCACAGCCCGUGCUGGCGAGGAUGA
rnacentral:lncRNA from 1 species